rnacentral:rRNA from 1 species
UACGGAGGGUGCGAGCGUUGUCCGGAAUCAUUGGGCGUAAAGGGCGCGUAGGUGGCCCGGUCAGUCAGUGGUGAAAGCGCGGGGCUCAACUCCGCGUCGGCCAUUGAUACUGCUGGGCUGGAGCACUGUAGAGGCAGGCGGAAUUCCGGGUGUAGCGGUGGAAUGCGUAGAGAUCCGGAAGAACACCGGUGGCGAAGGCGGGUCUCUGGGCCGAUACUGACGCUGAGGAGCGAAAGCAUGGGUAGCGAACAGGA